rnacentral:rRNA from 1 species
AUGCUCUGCCAUGCCACUCCUGUUCGAUGGAUGGCAACAACUGUGCGCAUUCACGUGGGAGACAUGUUUUGUGUCAGCCUAUCAGCGGGGGAAGAUCAAUCCACAUGGCGGCAGCCGGCUCGGCCCGAGCCAUGCAGCCCAUGCACCCCAUGCACCCAACGUACGGCUGAGGACGAAGCUGAUCCUAUUGAUUUGCUGUGUGGACAUCUGAGAAAGGCCAUCGCACCGGUCCUGCGUACCACGCCGGUCAGAACAAAUGUGGUCAAAAGCAGAAGGCCAAGGCAGAAGAGGGAGCCAGUCUCCAACCCCAGGAGAAGUGUUCGGAUCGCAAGAAGGGCUGGCCGUGGGUCACAUGCAACGAAGCAACAAAAUGUCCUCAUCCGCAAACUUUGCCUUGCAAAUGAAGGGGAGACAAUUAGCGACGAGGCGCUCCAAGUGUACGUCAAUCUGUUCAACAAACCGCUGUCCGACUGCCACGUCAAGGCCAUCCUUGUGCUCUUCGGUUGGGAGGCCUCGGCUAUGCCAUUGAUUGAUCAUGAAGGAUUGGUGGAGGGCCGGCAGUGA